rnacentral:rRNA from 1 species
UGGGGGAUAUUGCACAAUGGGCGAAAGCCUGAUGCAGCGACGCCGCGUGGGGGAUGAAGGCUUUCGGGUUGUAAACCUCUUUCGCUAUCGAACAAGGCCCGCUUAGGGUGGGUUGAGGGUAGGUGGAGAAGAAGCGCCGGCUAACUACGUGCCAGCAGCCGCGGUAAUACGUAGGGCGCGAGCGUUUUCCGGAAUUAUUGGGCGUAAAGGGCUUGUAGGCGGCUUGUUGCGCCUGCUGUGAAAACGCGGGGCUUAACUUCGCGCGUGCAGUGGGUACGGGCAGGCUUGAGUGUGGUAGGGGUGACUGGAAUUCCAGGUGUAGCGGUGGAAUGCGCAGAUAUCUGGAGGAACACCGGUAGCGAAGGCAGGUCACUGGGCCAUUACUGACGCUGAGGAGCGAAAGCAUGGGUAGCGAACAGG